rnacentral:rRNA from 1 species
AUACGGAGGGUGCAAGCGUUAUCCGGAAUCACUGGGUUUAAAGGGUGCGUAGGCGGCGCAAUAAGUCAGAGGUGAAAGCCCCCAGCUUAACUGGGGAAUUGCCUUUGAUAUUGUUGCACUUGAAUCAGGUUGAGGUUAGCGGAAUGUGUCAUGUAGCGGUGAAAUGCAUAGAUAUGACAUAGAACACCAAUUGCGAAGGCAGCUGACUAGACCUGUAUUGACGCUGAGGCACGAAAGCGUGGGGAGCGAACAGGAUUAGAAACCCUAGUAGUCC